rnacentral:rRNA from 1 species
GAACGAACGCUGGCGGCAUGCCUAACACAUGCAAGUCGAACGAGACCUUCGGGUCUAGUGGCGCACGGGUGCGUAACGCGUGGGAAUCUGCCCUUGGGUCCGGAAUAACUCAGAGAAAUUUGAGCUAAUACCGGAUGAUGACGUAAGUCCAAAGAUUUAUCGCCCAAGGAUGAGCCCGCGUAGGAUUAGCUAGUUGGUGAGGUAAAGG